rnacentral:rRNA from 1 species
AUUGAACGCUGGCGGCAUGCCUAACACAUGCAAGUCGAACGGUAACGCGGAGAGCUUGCUCUCUGGCGACGAGUGGCGGACGGGUGAGUAAUACUUGGGAAUCUGCCCAGUAGUGGGGGACAACAUUCGGAAACGGAUGCUAAUACCGCAUACGCACUACGGUGGAAAGUGGGGGAUCUUCGGACCUCACGCUAUUGGAUGAGCCCAAGUCGGAUUAGCUUGUAGGUAGGGUAACGGCCUACCUAGGCGACGAUCCGUAGCUGGGUCUGAGAGGACGAUCAGCCACACUGGGACUGAGACACGGCCCAGACUCCUACGGGAGGCAGCAGUGGGGAAUAUUGGACAAUGGGCGCAAGCCUGAUCCAGCAAUGCCGCGUGUGUGAAGAAGGCCUGCGGGUUGUAAAGCACUUUCAGUAGAGAAGAAAGGCCUAGGGUUAAUACCCCUGAGUCUUGACGUAACCUACAGAAGAAGCACCGGCUAACUCCGUG